CAUUUGGAUAAGGCAGAGAGAGUGAGAGCUCGAGCGGCGGCGGAGGGCGAGGCGAUUCCCCGUGUUCAUGGCGAUUUGGAGUUCAUCCGCCCUAGGAUUUUGACGGCAUCCUCUUCGUUCUCGUCGCCGCGGCUGCGCUGGUAGUAUCUCAAUGAGUAGACCGCGGAAAGUCUCUCGCAAGGAUGUUCCCCUAGUUUCUUCAGUCGAGAGCGCUGAUUCUUUGAGAGACCCUUAUGUGCCUAAUGAUUUUGCUGAUGAUGGUUCUAAUGCUAUGUCUUUGGGAGUUAUUAUUUGUCUUCUUAUCUUCUUUCCAUUUCCAUUUUCAUUUUCUUUUAUAUUUUUAUAUUUUUUUAUUAAUUUUUGUUAUUGUUUUUUGAUAUUUUUUUCCUUUUGCAGGGUUGUUCUGGUGAUGAUGAAGAGUUUGAUAAAGCACUUUACAAUUUCUAUCUGAAUAACUAAAGUACCUGAAGAGAAAAUUAUCAUCUGCUGGCAGAAGGAAUGUUGUAAGUCUUUUUUUCUCUUCCGUUAAUCAUUGGGUCAUUUGUAUGGUACCUACACUGUAAAUUUACCCUAUAUGAACUGUAAUCUAAAUGCCCUUAUUACUGAGUGAUACUUAGUGUGAAAUUUGUAUGGUAGUUACACUGUAAUCCUAUAAUUAUUGUGUAAUUUUGUAUGAUAGUUACACUGUAAUCCUAUUCCUUUCUUACAGUGUAAAUUUACCCAUAUCUACACUGUAAUUCGAACCGGA